UCCGCUUCUACAGACGUGUGAUACUCUGUGCGCUCUCUGCUGGUCAGCUGCAGCUUCACGCUGUGUGUUUCUCCGUCGCUCUGGAGACGCCGGCGGUUCACCACCACAACCACCAGAGGUCUCAGAUCCUGCAGAGGAGAGAGGACCACAGGCAUCAUCAAGUGUGGAGGAAACCUUUUUACGGAAGCAGUGAGAGAGAAGAGCACAGGUACUCCGUUACGCUCCAUUACAUCACUGCAACAACUUCUCACCUACAAACUCACCUCCGGACCAGACAAACUUCACACGACUGUACAGAGUGUA
ensembl:lncRNA